rnacentral:SRP_RNA from 1 species
UUUCAGCCGCUUCGUACUUAAGCUUAGUUAAAUUGGUCAGGACCGGAAGGUAGCAGCCAGGAUUAAGUUUUAAGGUACCGAAGAAUAGUUGGGAAGC